CACGUAGGGUGCGAGCGUUGUCCGGAAUUAUUGGGCGUAAAGAGCUCGUAGGCGGUGUGUCGCGUCGGCCGUGAAAACCUGCAGCUUAACUGUGGGCGUGCGGUCGAUACGGGCAUCACUGGAGUUCGGCAGGGGAGACUGGGAAUUCCCGGUGUAGUGGUGAAAUGCGUAGAGAUCGGGAGGAACACCUGUGGCGAAGGCGGCCGGACUGGGCCGACC
rnacentral:rRNA from 1 species